AUUCCUACGGGAGGCAGCAGUGAGGAAUAUUGGUCAAUGGGCGAGAGCCUGAACCAGCCAUCCCGCGUGCAGGAAGAAUGCCCUAUGGGUUGUAAACUGCUUUUUCGCAUGAAGAACACCUCUGACGUGUCAGAGGCUGACGGUUAUGCGUGAAUAAGCACCGGCUAACUCCGUGCCAGCAGCCGCGGUAAUACGGAGGGUGCAAGCGUUAUCCGGAUUUAUUGGGUUUAAAGGGUGCGUAGGCGGCUAUUUAAGUCAGUGGUGAAAUCCUGCAGCUCAACUGUAGAACAGCCAUUGAAACUGAAUAGCUUGAGUAAUCUUGAGGUAGGCGGAGUGUGUAGUGUAGCGGUGAAAUGCUUAGAUAUUACACAGAACACCGAUUGCGAAGGCAGCUUACUAAGGAUUUACUGACGCUGAUGCACGAAAGCGUGGGGAUCAAACAGGAUUAGAUACCCUGGUAGUCCACGCCGUAAACGAUGAUAACUCGCUGUUGGCGAUACACAGUCAGCGGCUUAGCGAAAGCGUUAAGUUAUCCACCUGGGGAGUACGCUCGCAAGAGUGAAACUCAAAGGAAUUAACGGGGGCCCGCACAAGCGGAGGAACAUGUGGUUUAAUUCGAUGAUACGCGAGGAACCUUACCUGGGCUUAAAUGUGCUGUGACCGCCGGAGAAAUUUGGCUUUUCGCAAGAACAGAGUACAARGUGCUGCAUGGUUGUCGUCAGCUCGUGCCGUGAGGUGUCGGGUUAAGUCCCAUAACGAGCGCAACCCUUAUUGUCAGUUGCUAACAGGUCUUGCUGAGGACUCUGGCGAGACUGCCACCGUAAGGUGUGAGGAAGGUGGGGAUGACGUCAAAUCAGCACGGCCCUUAUGUCCAGGGCUACACACGUGUUACAAUGGCCAGUACAAAGGGCAGCUACCGGGCGACCGGAUGCUAAUCUCUAAAGCUGGUCUCAGUUCGGAUCGAAGUCUGCAACCCGACUUCGUGAAGCUGGAUUCGCUAGU
rnacentral:rRNA from 1 species